CUCGUAGGCGGUUCGUCGCGUCCGGUGUGAAAGUCCAUCGCUUAACGGUGGAUCUGCGCCGGGUACGGGCGGGCUGGAGUGCGGUAAGGGGGACUGGAAUUCCCGGUGUAACGGUGGAAUGUGUAGAUAUCGGGAAGAACACCAAUGGCGAAGGCAGGUCUCUGGGCCGUCACUGACGCUGAGGAGCGAAAGCGUGGGGAGCGAACA
rnacentral:rRNA from 1 species